rfam:Sarcoptes scabiei Contig12661, whole genome shotgun sequence.
CAAAAGGCUCUUUUAAGAGCCACAAUCAUUUAAGAAAGAAAGAAU